CCUCUGUGGAAGAUACAGAAGGGAGAAGAGUUAAAGAACAGGGAAUUUGAUAAAGAUUGGUAAUUAAGCAGAAUAACAACGCGCCAACAAGCAACUAAGUGAGGAAAAAAGGAGGAAAAGGGAGAAGGGAAGGCGACCACUUCUAUGUUAAUUAACUAAAAGGCCAAAAGAAAAGAAGGCGAAGUGAAGCUCAUAUCGGUGCGAUGGGCCAAAAACAGUAGCUUGUUAGCCAAGAAUGCCGCUCAUAUCCAGCGGAUACGUUUUGUAUCUCGUUUGACAGACGCCGCCGAUAAAGAUAGAAGAGCAGAAUGCAGAGCUAAAGUUGUUGCCGAGUGUUGAAAUCGAAAGGAGAGCAAAAACUUGUGUGCGCCUUAAUUGGAUGAAAAUUGUUGAAAUAUUUAAAGCGGACAAUGGUAAAAAGACUGAAGAAGAUGCUUUUAUUAUCCUUUUGUGUUGCACAGCGCAGACAACAACAACAACAAGAACUUGAGCACACAUAACUCAAAAAUGUUGUAUGCGUGUUUUGGGGAAGAAAUCCUUUUCUGGUCCAGCCUAAUCAAAAUGCCUCAUGUGGCAGCGUCUCGCCUGAAACUUGAGAAGACCUCAAGAGGGAGAUAGAGUGCCAGAGAGGAAGAGAGAGAGUGUGAGAGAUCCCAAGAGCCUCUUCUUCGUUGCUGUUUAUGCAAAAAUGAAAUACAAAUUUGAAAUUUGAACUUUUUCGAUCUUGUGCUUGCUCUUUUUUAUUUUAUUUUUUUUUUAAUUAAAAGUCUCGCAGCGCUUGCAGCUGCAACGACGCGAUGAGGCACGCAAAAAUCGAAGCACGCAGAGGGCAAGAAAACAGAAUAUAAAAGAAAAGGCUGCAAUUCAAUUAAAAUGCGGGUGAGCAGCAACAGCAGCAGACAGUGGCCAAGAUUAGGCGUACAACGGGGCGUGGCUGGGUCGAGGCACAAAUUGAAGCCGGACAGACGUCUGGACGAUGGAAUGGGAAAGGUAAGAGGUCGUCACACACAGGUAGAAGCUGAGCUUCAGCUUUAGCCUCUCCAACUUCAAUUUCAGCUCCCCGAUUUUCAAUUUGAUUUCUUAUAUAUAUUCGUACGUAUUUUUUUUUGGGGCAGCGUUGCGAAAUUGUAAGUUAUGAUUUUCAUUUCCUUUUUGGAAAUUUGGAAUAAUACUCACUUGUCUUCUCCUGAUAAUAAUGAUCGUCGGUGUCUGUGAAGAACCAGGUCUGUAAGCGCAAGAAAAAGAAUGCGAUUAAUCAUUGAUGAUGUAAAAAAAAAACCAAAAUAAAAUCGAGGCAGCGAAAGUUGCUCAGAUUUGCAUACUUCAUAUGUUUACGAGGCGUAGUAGACUCAUCUACAUAGCGAGUAGGAGCAGCGCCUAUUCUUACAAGAUUUCGAGACAAUCAGAUAAGAAAUAUUCCCACACACACACACACUAGCCGGAAAAAAAAACAUACGUCAAAAAAGCGCCCAAAGAAAACGAAACGAAACUUGUAGGGAAAAAAACUGUGGUUGAACUAACAUCAAGAAACAACUCAAGCAAAAAAACUUGAAGAGCACGCCAAGAGAGGAUUCAACUUGAUUGACUCGAAGUUACCCUGCAUUAUUAUUACAUUUUGUUGAA